rnacentral:rRNA from 1 species
AUUGAACGCCGGCGGCAGGCCUAACACAUGCAAGUCGAGCGGAUGAAGGGAGCUUGCUCCUGGAUUCAGCGGCGGACGGGUGAGUAAUGCCUAGGAAUCUGCCUGGUAGUGGGGGAUAACGUCCGGAAACGGGCGCUAAUACCGCAUACGUCCUGAGGGAGAAAGUGGGGGAUCUUCGGACCUCACGCUAUCAGAUGAGCCUAGGUCGGAUUAGCUAGUUGGUGGGGUAAAGGCCUACCAAGGCGACGAUCCGUAACUGGUCUGAGAGGAUGAUCAGUCACACUGGAACUGAGACACGGUCCAGACUCCUACGGGAGGCAGCAGUGGGGAAUAUUGGACAAUGGGCGAAAGCCUGAUCCAGCCGUGCCGCGUGUGUGAAGAAGGUCUUCGGAUUGUAAAGCACUUUAAGUUGGGAGGAAGGGCAGUAAGUUAAUACCUUGCUGUUUUGACGUUACCAACAGAAUAAGCACCGGCUAACUUCGUG